ACCUGGGUGGCUCAGUCGGUUGAGCGGCUGAUUUCAACUCAGGUCAUGAUCUCACAGUUCAUGGGUUCAAGCCCCACGUCAGGCU
rnacentral:tRNA from 1 species